rnacentral:rRNA from 1 species
AGUGAACGCUGGCGGUAGGCCUAACACAUGCAAGUCGAACGGCAGCACAGGAGAGCUUGCUCUCUGGGUGGCGAGUGGCGGACGGGUGAAGAAUACAUCGGAAUCUACUUUUUCGUGGGGGAUAACGUAGGGAAACUUACGCUAAUACCGCAUACGACCUACGGGUGAAAGCAGGGGAUCUUCGGACCUUGCGCGAUUGAAUGAGCCGAUGUCGGAUUAGCUAGUUGGCGGGGUAAAGGCCCACCAAGGCGACGAUCCGUAGCUGGUCUGAGAGGAUGAUAAGCCACACUGGAACUGAGACACGGUCCAGACUCCUACGGGAGGCAGCAGUGUGGAAUAUUGGACAAUGGGCGCAAGCCUUAUCCAGCCAUACCGCGUGGGUGAAGAAGGCCUUCGGGUUGUAAAGCCCUUUUGUUGGGAAAGAAAUCCAGCUGGUUAAUACCCGGUUGGGAUGACGGUACCCAAAGAAUAAGCACCGGCUAACUUCGUGCCAGCAGCCGCCGCAG